AUGGGGGGUGGAUAUGGACAUGAGGAAGAUGCGGGGUGUGUGAGGUGGGUAUGGGGGGUUGAUAUGGACAUGAGGAAGAUGCGGGGUGUGUGUGGUGGGUAUGGGGGGUUGAUAUGGACAUGAGGAAGAUGCGGGGUGUGUGAGGUGGGUAUGGGGGGUUGAUAUGGGCAUGAGGAAGAUGUGGGGUGUGUGAGGUGGGUAUGGGGGGUUGAUAUGGGCAUGAGGAAGAUGUGGGGUGUGUGAGGUGGGUAUGGGGGGUUGAUAUGGGCAUGAGGAAGAUGUGGGGUGUGUGAGGUGGGUAUGGGGGGUUGAUAUGGGCAUGAGGAAGAUGUGGGGUGUGUGAGGUGGGUAUGGGGGGUUGAUAUGGGCAUGAGGAAGAUGU